AUAGCAAGGUGGAUAAGGCAUGAAGGUAGGGUAGGGGUUAAAGCUGGAGUAAUCUGAUGUACCCUCCAUUGGAUAUCCUAGACCCUGUGGAAAGGGUGGAUACCGGGGUGGAUAACCAAACCCCGAGGCCUGAACGCCUCCUUAAGACUCCCCUGUACCCUCGUCAGACAUGCUCACAUCCAAAUUUCCAUCCCUUCUCUGAUCCUCAUCCAUCACUUCCCUCACAUCAGAAGACCCUCCUCUUAGAUCUGUUCCCCUUCUACUAGCAUCAAAAGACCUUCUAAGGUCCCUUGACACUCUUUCCCUGCU
rnacentral:lncRNA from 1 species